UUUUUUUUUUUUUUUUUAAAGGGACUUGACCCUCAGUCUCCCUCGCAGCUCUCGGGAAGCAGCAGCAUUGUUUGCCAAGAGCAGCCGCAGCCUCCUCACAAAUCUCGCUUUGUCGCGGGCUUCAGAAAACACAGGGAGGGUUUGUGGCUUUUCCUCCCCCCACACCCCCCCCUUUAAUUAUUAUUGUUAUUAUUAAAGAUGGCAAGCUCUGCUUUUCCUUAGCCAGAGCAGCUCAGAGAAUGCCGAAUGCCACCUCGCGGCCAGAACUCGAGCACAGGAGCGGGACAGAGGCUGAUGGACCCAAAGCCCAUCCCUGUCCUGCCCGGGACACCUCCCCUGUCCCAGCUGCUCCAAACCCUGUCCAGCCUGGCCUUGGGCACUGCCAGGGGAGCACAGCCUCUCUGGGAAUCCCAUCCCACCCUCACAGGGAGGAAUUCCCUCCCAAUAUCCCACUAACCCUGCCCUCAAGGCUGUUCCCUCUCAUCCUAUCACUGCAUCUUUGUUUUCUGCACAGCCAGAAGAGACGUGCUGAGCUGCCUUUGUUCCCCACAUAGGCAACAUCUGAGUUUAAAGACCUUUAAAAACCUGGGGCAGCUUCACAGGAGUGAAAAGCCACGCCAGGCUUCCUGCCCUGCAUUUUCUCACACCUCAGGAGCACUCAGCAGUGCCUGUGCUCAUCAAAGUCUGCCCCAAAUCACCACCCUCACCAAACUCGGCUCAACCUCUAAAGCCUAAACUGAGUUCCAAGGAAACUGAGUGGAAAAUAGAACUCCUGCACUCACCUCCCUUGUCUCCUUCCACAAACAGCACCACGGGCUCUAAAAGCAGAUGGGACAGCUCGAAAGGAGCACCGUCCCCCAGAGGAGGACCCCUGGCACCUCCAGUUUGCUUUUACUGGUACAGCAGCUCCCAAAUGUCCCUCCCAGACCCCCAGGCCACACCAACAAACCCAAUGUCCUAAGUGCCAACACCUGGUGAGUGGAGCAGCCUCAUGGGGGUUCCAGGGCAUGCAAUGCACCUGUGCCAGGCUUAAAGCAUGGCAUUUGUCCUUCAAACAUCCUCAGCCAAAGGUGGGGGAGAUCAGAUUCUCUGUGGGCUCAGAGUGACACAAAGCCCAGGAAAGCUUGGGGAAAAGCCAAGGAAUGAAGCAUCAGAUGGAGCUGUGAGUGCUCUGAGAUGCAGGGAGCUGCUGACCAAGGGAACACUGAGCUUUAUCCUGAAAUUCAGAAUUCCUUCAGGGCUAAUCCUCUUCAUAUGCCUGCCUUAAGAUUGUGCACUUUUGUUUAGGGUCUGGUAAGAGCAGCACCAACACUCUGGCUCCUGUGGGACACAGGAGGGGUGUUGGAAUAUCUCUGCCCUUUCCCCCCUCACUAAAAGUGCCAGAAUAAAAACAUUUUGAAGAUUGCAGGUUGUGUGUGAGAGACCUCGGGAAGACUGAGUGUGCUCUAGGCUCUGUGUGAGAGGCAAUAAGGAGGUGAUUUAAUUGCACACAGCUGUGCAAAGGUUAAUGAAGCUCCAGCUGGUGCCUUUGGGUUUGGGGGUACCUUUGGGUGACUCUGGGGUGGUUCCCUUUGGCCCCCAGGUGGCUGACCUGGAGGAUGGGUAGUGGCUUUUGUCAACACCUAAAAAUCACAUUCCCUGUUUUUCAGGGCCUCAGGAAGCUGUCACAGCACCAUGUGGAAGCUGCCCACACUCCCCAGUGUUAUUCUCACAAUGAAAUGAUCACCACAGGAAUUCCUGCCCGCUGCAGCCACCUCAGAGUCCCUGGCUGUGUCUGCAGUGCUGUAACUCAGCUCAGCUGGGCUGGAACUGGCCCCAGUGCACUCUCCUGCUGCUCUGGGAUAGCAGACUGGGACAGUCCUGGCAUAGCUCUGGGAUAGACUCCUCUGGAUGGGAGUCGAGGGCCUUUUCCAUCUCAGCUGUGCAACUCGAGGCUGACACUCAGUGGCCAAGAGGAUUUUUUUCUUCCCUGGACUGCUGUAAUGUUUCAAGGGAUCAGGAGCUCCCUGGGGUGGAAACGUCUCCACUGAAUGCCAUGGGCUGAUCCAGACCUCCCCAGAAGGUGCUGAGGCUCCUCACCAGCCCCAGUGCAUUGCCAUGUCACGGUGUGAGGCAGCACAGCAGAGCCUGAGUGGCUCAGCCUGGGGCAUGCUGCCAUUUGGGUUAGAGAAAGGGAAAUACUCAACCUUGAUUGUAAAGAUUUGAGCAACAAGGAUCUCAGCCUUGCAUUAUGGUAGGGACAGAACAACUCUGUAAAUCCUACAAAGGAGACUCCCCCUAAAAAAGGUAAAUUCACUGCUUUGCACUUAUUUUCUUCUGCCUUUUGUGCCCCCUGAAACAAGAUUUUUAAUGAGAAGCAUCUUUCCCCAAGCAGGGAAGGAAGGUCCUACCUGAGAGUGCCUGGUUUGUACCAUGGGGCCUGCCCAGCUCUCUGGGUGUGCUGAGAUGAAAAGAGCAGUGGAAGGGCUCAAAUGAGGCAAAAUAUUUUUGUGGAGGUGUUCUUAGAAGAAAAAGGGUAGAGUAAUGACAAACAGGCCAGAGUUAUUCCAUGAUGAAGGAAUUUAAUUGAUAGCUCUGCUCACCAACUGAUCUGUUCCAGUCCUCAAUCCUCAGGAAGGAACCUCUUGAAGGAAGAGAUGCCAGGCAGUAACUCCAGCAGGGCUGGCUUUGGGCAGCAGCUGCAAGGCUGCUGCUGGAGCAUCCCCACAAGGCUCAGGAAAGGCAUGAUUUACACAAAGUCACCAUUAUGGCAGUAGGUGAGGGCCAAAUAUUGAAGGACAUCAAGCUUGAUGCAUGAGCCAAGAUUGAAUUGGGGUCCUUCAAAAACCAGAAAAGAAAGGCAAUUAUCAUGAGACAUAGAUUAAGAUGCUGUUAAGUGCUCUGGGUCAAGUCAGCUCUGAGCAGAAGGACAGAGGUGCUUAGAGCCACCCUUUUCAUUGACUGGGUAUUUCAGGGGAGUUCAGUACGAGCUCAAACACUCUGGGACCAAAAUUCAGCCUCCUUAAGCUUCGUGGGAAGGAUCUGUAAGGGUUUGCUUCGGGUCAUUUAUGGGGGCUGUGACCCCACCCUGUUCCAGUCCUGAUCUGCAGAGAUGUUGAACCCUUUGCACAGCUGCUGAAGCCCUUGGUUUCUGUUUGAUUCAAGGUGGAAGAGCAGCAAUUGUGCAUUGGUCAUUCCCCAAGGGAAACAAAGGCCAGGUCACUUAGAAUUCCUUUGCUUGCACUCACCAUGAACCUCAUAAGCCACAUAAGUUGAGAGCCCUUUGCACGUAGAGAAGAUGUCUGGACCAUAUGAUUCAAGGUCACGAAUAACUCUCUUCACAAGGGUGAAUGUGAUCUCCUUUGUAGGGGUUCUUGGAUGAUUCUGGUUCUAAACAUCAAAAACCAGCAUUCAGCAAGAUCCGUGCCCUGCUCUGUUUAACUCCAGGCAUAUUCCCAGCUUUAGCUGUUAUAAACAUCUUAAGAAUAAUCUAACUGAGCUACAACAUUGGCCAAACCUGUAAACCCUCUACUGGAAGUAUCUGAACAAGGGUAUUCCAAUUGCCAAAAGUUUAAAGUCACAUUGAUGUAAAAUGUCAGUGAAAUUGAUAAAAAUAUCUAAUUAAUGGUGUGACAAACCUGGUCUUUAAAGUACCUGUUGGUUUUGAAAAUAGCAAGGCCUCAGGUAUCAGUAUACUUUGCAUUAAGUACAACUUUCCAAGUAACUGCUCCUUUUCAACCUUACCCUGAUGUCUGCAGCCAGCUGGGGAAGAGAAUCAAAGCUGGGCAUCUCUGUUCUGUUCAUUAUGGAAAUGUAGCAAGCUCUCUCUGGCAGCACUUUGGUUGCCAUAAAGCCCUGUAAAAUAAAGUUAUGGACCACUGGGAAUUUAAUCAUUAAUAUUGGAAUUUCAUGCCUAUUUAAAAACGUAUAAAAAGAGUUUUUACUGAAUAUAUGAGCAAGAAUAAGAGACUGCACUCACUGUGUCAUAGUUCCAGAUGGUUUUCCAGUACCCAUAGCUGGUCUUUUGCUCAAUACUUGCCACCAGCCAUUUCUUAUUGAUGGUCAUAAUUUGGUAAGUUCCACCAAUGGAGAUUUUUUUGCUUACUUCAGUCUGUUGAUGCUAGAAAAACAAAUUAAAGAGCACUUUGGCUUUCAAGUGAUUAUCUGCCCAAGGCUUUAGAAAAAUGAAAGGCUCAAGGAGAUCUCUGAAGCAGGGAAGAGAUCAUAGAAAGAGCAGCAAUGUGGAAAUUGUUCAUUUGUACUCACAUAAUCAGCAAGGGCUGGAGUCAGGAUGAGUCCAAGAAGGACUGCAGUCAAAAUCUGAAAUGAAAAUCAAAUACAAAAUGUAACUGCAGCUCUGGCUGACAAAUCUGGUCAUGACAAUCCUCCUCCCCUUUUCCUAAUCUGAUGUUUAAGGCUCCUCUUUGGCUCCUUUUUUUGCUUUCGACCUGGGAUUGCAUCAGUGCCCCCAAAGGGAGGCACCCUUGCUUUACCCCAGGCUGCUCAAAGUAGACACAUUUCCCACUUGCUCUCUCAAGAGCUGUUUCUCAGCCCUGUGCAGGCACACACAGGUAUUUUACAGGAGUGAGGAGAAAGCUUUGCCAUUUCUUCUGCUCUGGCAUUGCAGGGAAGGGCUUGAUGCACUCGUGCAGUGCUCCAGUGGUGCAAAAGCAUUGACAAGAAUGGGCAUGGAUUAGGCUUCCUGUUUUCUGAAUCAUGUACAGCCAAGCCAUGAAGAAAUCCUUACCUCCUCAGCUCCUCUGGGGAGCAGGGGCUGAGCUGCUCCUUCUGCAGGAGCACAAUGGCCCCAGAGAGGGAGAAGCCCUUCUGAGAGAUAAAGGAACGGGUUUGAAUCAAAGUUUCAGUUUGUAAGGAAGAAAAGCACGCAUACUUACAGGGAGAUGCAUCCUGACUGCAGAGCUGAUGCUGCUGAAGGCAGAAUAAAUCAUGUGAGCCUCCCACCUUUUAUUUGUUUUCAGAAUUAGGUGUGGAAGGGCUGAAUGCUGCAAUAAAAUUAUUUU
ensembl:lncRNA